rnacentral:lncRNA from 1 species
GCUAAGCACCAUUUCCUUGUCAUGAUGGGAAAAAUUCCCUAUAGCCAUUGCAAACACAUCCAAGACAGUGGAUUAUUUGAGGCCAAGGCUCUCUAUCAACUUUUAGAAAACAAUUUCGUGGAUUAUGGAGAGCCAUUUAAAUCACGAUCAUUUUUUUGCAAAUGGAUCUGAGAUGAUAUAUAAUGGUAUCAUUAUAGUUCAUCAUUGGCUCUUCCUGGUAUAUAUCCAUUGAAAAGUUGGGGA